UUUUUUCACACGGUCGAUCACUUCACUAAAACAAAUUUCCUCAACUACUUAGGAAAACAGUGAAAGGAAACGAAGGUUACCCACAAGAUAGCCAGAUCUAUCAUAGAUGGAGAUUCAUGGUGUUCGAUUGAUGUCAGAUGAAGAAAAUGAAGGGUUGAUGUACAACAGACUGUAGUGCUAAGCCUGAGCAAUUUCAAGAAGAUUUGUUCUUGACACUGCUGCACCUACUCCAUCACUUAGAGCUAAAGAAUGGCUGAAUGGAAAAAACAGAAAUCCUAUUCUGAUAUCCAUGUAUGUAGGUUUCAUCUUCACUGUGUUUCUUCUUGCAAUAAUUCAACUGCUGGAAAACCUUGAUCAACUUGAGUAAUCAUGAAACAACCUGGGAGAGAAUGAAAAAUGC